rnacentral:rRNA from 1 species
CAGUAGCCGCGGGAAUACGGAGGGUGCAAGCGUUAAUCGGAAUUACUGGGCGUAAAGCGCACGCAGGCGGUCUGACAAGUCAGAUGUGAAAUCCCCGGGCUUAACCUGGGAACUGCAUUUGAAACUGUCAGGCUGGAGUCUUGUAGAGGGGGGUAGAAUUCCAGGUGUAGCGGUGAAAUGCGUAGAGAUCUGGAGGAAUACCGGUGGCGAAGGCGGCCCCCUGGACAAAGACUGACGCUCAGGUGCGAAAGCGUGGGGAGCAAACAGGAUUAGAUACCCGUGUAGUCCCUGUCUCUUAUAC